GUUUUAAUAGUUUAAAUAAAAACACUGGUCUUGUAAAUCAAAAUUAAGUUAAAAUACUUUUAAAACU
rnacentral:tRNA from 1 species